ACUGCACUCCAGCCUGGUGACAGAGCGAGACUCUGUCUCAAAAAAGAAAUAGGCUAAGCUAGCAAGAGGCUUGCUGCCAUAGACAGCUAAGGAUGGUGUUUACUCAUGGGGUGCCUUAAGUAUCCCACAAAUUUGUGAGAGGCUGCCAGCCACAGACCUGUUAAUCUGUGAUACCUCCUGUGAUUGGACUUUCCCAGGACUAGCAGGGACAAACAAGCAUUGCCAUGACAAAAGUCCCUUAUGUAUGGGACUUAAUACAAAUGACCUUGAGCGCUCGGCACAUUCAGAACAGAGUGUGCUGCUUAGUAUCUUACUUGUCAGGGGAUUCCCAGUGUUUUUAGACUGGUGAUGUGGUUUGGCUGUGCCCCCACCCAAAUCUCCACUUGAAUUGUAUCCCCCAGAUUUCCCACGUAUUGUGGGAGGGACCCAGGGGGAGGUAAUUGAAUCAUAGGGGGCUGGUCUGUCCCAUGCUAUUCUCAUGAUAGUAAAUAAGUCUCAUGGGAUCUGAUGGGUUUAUCAGGGGUUUCUGCUUUUGUUUCUUCCUCAUUUUCUCUUGCCGCUGCCAUGUAAAUAGUGCCUUUCGCCCUCCGCCAUGAUUCUGAGGCCUCCCCAACCAUGUGGAACUGGUCUCACUUCACUCCCCAGACUGAAGUUCCAUGGCAUGAUCAUGGCUCUCUGCAGCCUCAACUUCCCAGCCUCAAGCAACCCUCCCAUCUCAGCCUCCUGAGUUGCUGGAACCACAGUGUACAUCCACCUCCAGCUCCAGGACUCUACCUCUCAUCAAGGCUGACCAGAAGCAAGAUGAUGGAAGCCAAGAGAGCUCCUCUGCAUGCUCCACUAAGCUCUGCUCUGCAUCUGCCGUGAUUCUUCUUCCAAACAGAAAACACCGUCUUUCUUUUUGACUACAUCUGUCCUCAGAGAUGGUGCUGAUGGAUCCAUUUAUAAUUUAUGUGAAUUUAAACCUUUGCAAUUUUUACAUGGAAUAAAAGGACCCAUUUUCUGGAAAGAAAAUGCUGAACAAGAGCUGAGAACCUGGGGCAAUCUAAGGCAGGGGUUCCUCCCUAACACCCCUGCUGUCAGAAGCCAGCUGGUUGGCCAUAGAUCACUUCACCUAACACCCAGUGCCCAGUCAGAUUUGCCCCCAAAUUGUACAACUCAAGCUUAACUUUCACAUAUUUUAAGAUAGUGUCAGCCCCUUUUGCAAUAUGUAGAUGAUACUUUUUGUUUGUCAUUUACCAUUUCAAAAAAA